rnacentral:rRNA from 1 species
CCUACGGGAGGCAGCAGUGGGGAAUAUUGGGCAAUGGGCGCAAGCCUGACCCAGCAAUGCCGCGUGAAGGAAGAAGGCUCUCGGGUUGUAAACUUCUUUGACAGGGGAAGAGCAGAAGACGGUACCCUGAAAACAAGCCACGGCUAACUACGGGCCAGCAGCCGCGGUAAUACGUAGGUGGCAAGCGUUGUCCGGAUUUACUGGGUGUAAAGGGCGUGUAGCCGGGAAGGCAAGUCAGAGGUGAAAUCUGGAGGCUCAACCUCCAAAUUGCAUUUGAAACUGUUUUUCUUGAGUACUGGAGAGGCAGACGGAAUUCCUUGUGUAGCGGUGAAAUGCGUAGAUAUAAGGAGGAACACCAGUGGCGAAGGCGGUCUGCUGGACAGCAACUGACGGUGAGGCGCGAAAGCGUGGGGAGCAAACAGGAUUAGAUACCCUUGUAGUC